GAUGAACGCUGGCGGCGUGCUUAACACAUGCAAGUCGAACGAUUAAGACCCCUUCGGGGGCGUAUAGAGUGGCGAACGGGUGAGUAACACGUAGGCAACCUGCCCCUUCCUCUGGGAUAACACGGAGAAAUCCGUGCUAAUACCGGAUACUCCAUAUCUGCGGCAUCGCGGAUAUGGGAAAGCUCCGACGGGAAGGGAUGGGCCCGCGGUCCAUUCGCUAGUCGGUGGGGUGACGGCCUACCGAGGCGACGAUGGAUAGCCGGGUUGAGAGACCGACCGGCCACAUUGGGACUGAGAAACGGCCCAGACUCCUACGGGAGGCAGCAGUGGGGAAUUUUGCGCAAUGGGGGAAACCCUGACGCAGCAACGCCGCGUGCGGGAUGAAGGCCUUCGGGUUGUAAACCGCUUUCAGCAGGGAAGAAUACAGACGGUACCUGCAGAAGAAGCUCCGGCUAACUACGUGCCAGCCGCCGCAGUAA
rnacentral:rRNA from 1 species